rnacentral:rRNA from 1 species
GAUGAACGCUAGCGGCAGGCCUAACACAUGCAAGUCGAGGGGCAGCACGAUUGAAGCUUGCUUCAAUUGGUGGCGACCGGCGCACGGGUGCGUAACGCGUAUGUAACCUACCUUAUACAGGGGCAUAACACUGAGAAAUUGGUACUAAUUCCCCAUAACACUUUAGAGGGCAUCCUUUAGAGUUAAAAGUUCCGGCGGUAUAAGAUGGACAUGCGUUGUAUUAGCUAGUUGGUGAGGUAACGGCUCACCAAGGCGACGAUACAUAGGGGGACUGAGAGGUUAACCCCCCACAUUGGUACUGAGACACGGACCAAACUCCUACGGGAUGCAGCAGUGAGGAAUAUUGGUCAAUGGACGCAAGUCUGAACCAGCCAUGCCGCGUGCAGGAUGACGGCUCUACGAGUUGUAAACUGCUUUUGUACGAGGGUAAACCUAGAUACGUGUAUCUAGCUGAAAGUACCGUACGAAUAAGGAUCGGCUAACUCCGUGCCAGCCGCCGCGGUAAGAC